UUAAAAGCGAAGAUUAAGACGUAGUAAUAGAAGUAAUUAUUUAUAGAGAACUAACGGUUGGUGGAAGUUAGUAAUAAUCUUUUAUGAAUUCACCUUAGGAGCUGUAUAUGUAAAGAUAUAUCGGUAACGCGUUAUAGUUAUUGAGGUAAGUUUAACUUAUAAAUUAAGGUGGUACCACGUCAAUCACGUCCUUAUU
rnacentral:ncRNA from 1 species